GGGCGGGUAGCGUAGUGGUCAGCGUGUUCACUAAGCGUUUUUCAGCGCUGCUUUCCAGCGUUUAGUGAGAGUCCUGGGUUCGAAUCCCAGCCCGCCCA
rnacentral:tRNA from 1 species